rnacentral:lncRNA from 1 species
AGGGCACCAUCUCUUGGAACUCGAGUUAGAGGCAUUCACAAAUUAGGAUCCGAACUCCAGUCCUCAGGAAAGAGCUGCAAGUCCUCUUAAACAACGAUCCAUCUCUCCAGCCCAGAAAAAAAAAAAAAAAAACUGCAAGAAGAAGAAGAAAAAAAAUGCACAAGGUUUUUACAGAAGAACUAACUGGGCCCUGGACCAUAUCUUGCUGCCAUUCCAGAGGCCAGGUCUGCUCACUACCACAGGCUGACCUGCCGCCUCAGCCCCGGUGAAGUUCCAACACAGACCAGAGAAGUUGCUGUCCAUAGCUGGGGCUUCCAGAAGUGGCCCUGCCUUUGCCUGAC